AAAGUCGUAACAAGGUAACCGUAGGUGAACCUGCGGUUGGAUCAUUAUAAAAUAAUGAUGGUGGUGACAGCCUGAAUUCUCAGGCGUGUCUAAACCUUCUAAACCUCUGUGCACUGUAAUAGUAUCGGGUCUAGGUAACGCAGUCUUUAGGGAUAGCGAAGCUUAGGCCCAAAAACGGUUUCGACCGUAUAAACAACUUUUAAUUUUGACUGACUUUUGUUUCUAACGAAUCAAAAACAACUUUUAACAACGGAUCUCUUGGCUCAC
rnacentral:misc_RNA from 1 species